CCGUUGCCGGCGACCGGCGCACGGGUGAGUAACACGUAUGGCAACCUGCCCGUGGCAGGGGGAUAAGCGGGGGAAACCCCGUCUAAUACCGCGUAACGCGGCCUUGGGGCAUCCCAAGGCCGCCAAAGGGAGCAAUCCCGGCCACGGAUGGGCAUGCGGCGCAUUAGCUAGUCGGCGGGGUAACGGCCCACCGAGGCGACGAUGCGUAGGGGUUCUGAGAGGAAGGCCCCCACACUGGUACUGAGACACGGACCAGACUCCUACGGAAGGCAGCAG
rnacentral:rRNA from 1 species